rnacentral:rRNA from 1 species
UACGAAGGGGGCUAGCGUUGCUCGGAAUUACUGGGCGUAAAGCGUGCGUAGACGGUAGCGUAAGUCAGAUGUGAAAGCCCCGGGCUCAACCUGGGAAUUGCAUUUGAGACUGCUCUGCUCGGGUGCGGAAGAGGGAAGCGGAAUUUCCGGUGUAGCGGUGAAAUGCGUAGAUAUCAGGAGGAACACCGGUGGUGUAAACGGCUUUCUGGACCGUAACUGACGCUGAGGCACGAAAGCGUGGGUAGCAAACAGG